CCCUGCUCGCUCAGCGGAUCGGGAACUCACCCGACCGCCAGGCUCCACAAGCGUAUGCUCUCCCAAGUGAACAAUGGGAGAGUACAAGCUGGAUUUCAGUUUUUUCUCCAUGUAUUCUUUCAAUGUAUUUUGCCACAGUGCCUGCCAACAGUGUCUGCCAAACAAAUACUUACAUGCAGGCAUUAAAGGAGAUUAUGUCUUUGUACCUUACUCAGGGUCUAUACCCUAUACAGGGUCAUACCAUAUUACUAUACCCUGCACAGGGUCAUACUAUAUUACUAUAUCCUACAGGAAUCACCCGAUCACCGCGCCCUGCAUCUGGAUUAACCCCUUCAGGGAUCCCCCUCUCUGGGCACAUUCAUU